CAAGAGGAGGAGGAUUAGGGAAAGGCAACUGCAUUGCACAAGAGGUCACUAGAGGCCUUGAAGAGGGCACUCCUGGUGAGGGGUGUCAAGGACACAGGUGCAGGCUCCUUGUGUCUUGCAUUCACAGGCAUUUGAUAGGAGCAGGGUAGCGGGAGGCUGCAGGGUUAAGCACAGCCUUGGGCCUGGAGGCCCAUGGGUGUCUCAGGUUGGGAGUCAGAAGGACCUGUGGCAUGUGGGGAGACAGAUGGUGGCGAGGUCAAGCCAGAGGUGUGAUGACUGUGGCUGAUUCCUGUCCCCUGCAGGGCUCAACAUUGGCCCCGUGGUGGCCGGGGUGAUAGGGGCACGAAAGCCUCAGUACGACAUCUGGGGCAACACCGUGAACGUGGCCAGCCGCAUGGACAGCACCGGUGUACCCGACCGCAUCCAGGUCACCACAGACAUGUACCAGGUGCUGGCUGCCAACACAUACCAGCUGGAGUGCCGGGGCGUGGUCAAGGUCAAGGGCAAAGGCGAGAUGAUGACCUACUUCCUCAAUGGAGGGCCCCCGCUCAGUUAGCAGCUGUUGGCCAAUGGUGCCAGGCAGCUUGGCCUCCAGAGGCAUGGAAGCAGCUUCUCUGUGUGCUGGGGGUGGCGGGGAAGCCAUUCUCCAGCCCGCAGGGCUGCGCUGCUGAAAUUUUCCACUUGGACUCCAGAGCAGCUUCUGCCUUUGCUGGUGGGC
rnacentral:sRNA from 1 species